GUCCUAUCCCUCAGUCCCUAAGUAUGUGACCUCUCUGGAAAUAGAAUGAUUGCUGAUGUAAUUAGUCAGGUUAAGAUGAGGUGUUACUGGAGUAGGUUGGGCCCUUAAUCUAAUAUCACUGCUAUUUUUAUAAGAAGAGGAGAGAGAGACACAAGGAAGAUGACCAUGUGAAGACUAAGGCAGAGAUUGGAGUUACGUGGCCACAAACCAAGGAACACCAGGACCUCCAAAGAGUGAGAAGAGGCAAGCUUUUGUGAGUGUUCAACAUUCAACCCCAAGAAACGUUCAGAAGGAGUGAUGAAGGCUGAAUACUAAAGAGUGCCAAAUCCUUGAAUGAAUGGGCAACUCUGAGCUAAUAGGCCAAGAAGAAAAAUUAAAUCACCUAAGGACCAUGAUAUUGGAAACCUGGAAACAACUAAAAGAGAAUGAGAAGGCAGAAAACUAACAGCACGCUCUCCCAUCUGUUAGUCUGUUUACCAGUGUCUCAGCAUCAGCUCAUGUAUGCCGAGGGUUUAUUCAUCCCAGCGUUAUGUGAGUAAAUUGGGAAAAUUGGUUUCCUCUGGUAAAAAACACUUACACUUCAAAGUAUUUUCCCUACAUUCAUACUCCUAAUUUUCCCUUUUUGAUCUUUACAUCUGUUGUCGUACAGAUCCAAAAGCCCCAAGAUCCUGACUUCCCCUCCAACCAUCCCAAACACAUGGUUAGUAUUUAACAUCCAGAGCUUCAUUUUCGUUUUUUACUACUUAUAAUUUUGAAUGAAACUAUCACAAGAAAUGAAAUUCAAAGAAAAGAUAAUAUCAAAUAUGUCUUUAAGACUAAAUUUAU